rnacentral:rRNA from 1 species
CCUACGGGUGGCAGCAGUGGGGAAUCUUGCGCAAUGGGGGAAACCCUGACGCAGCAACGCCGCGUGCGGGACGAAGGCCCUCGGGCUGUAAACCGCUUUCAGCAGGGAAGCCAUCGACGGUACCUGCAGAACAAGCUCCGGCUAACUACGUGCCAGCAGCCGCGGUAAUACGUAGGGGGCGAGCGUUAUCCGGAUUCAUUGGGCGUAAAGCGGGCGUAGGCGGACGCCUACGUGGAACCUCUAACCCCGGGGCUCAACCUCGGGCCGGGUUCCGGACUGGGCGGCUGGAGUGCGGUAGAGGAGAGCGGAAUUCCUGGUGUAGCGGUGGAAUGCGUAGAUAUCGGGAAGAACACCGAUGGCGAAGGCAGCUCUCUGGGCCGUAACUGACGCUGAGGCGCGAAAGCGUGGGGAGCGAACAGGAUUAGAUACCACAGUAGUC